AUUGAACGCUGGCGGCAGGCCUAACACAUGCAAGUCGAGCGGCAGCGCGGGGGCAACCCUGGCGGCGAGCGGCGAACGGGUGAGUAAUACAUGGGAAUCUGCCUGGUAGUGGAGGAUAACUCUGGGAAACUAGAGGUAAUACCGCAUACGUCCUACGGGAGAAAGGGGGGGAUCUUCGGACCUCUCGCUAUCAGAGGAGCCCAUGUCCGAUUAGCUAGUUGGUGAGGUAAAGGCUCACCAAGGCGACGAUCGGUAACUGGUCUGAGAGGAUGGUCAGUCACACUGGAACUGAGACACGGUCCAGACUCCUACGGGAGGCAGCGGUGGGGAAUAUUGGACAAUGGGCGAAAGCCUGAUCCAGCCAUGCCGCGUGAGUGAUGAAGGCCUUAGGGUUGUAAAGCUCUUUCGCCAGGGAAGAUAAUGACGGUACCUGGAAAGAAGCCUCGGCUAACUCCGUGCCAGCAGCCGCGGUAAU
rnacentral:rRNA from 1 species